AAACAAUCUUUUUUUAAGAACAGCAGAUUUGUAAUGCUUUUAACUUGCCCUAUUCUUUUCUCAUCUCUCCCCCCCACCUUUCCAGCUCCACUGUAAGCCUUGAAAACCAAUGUAAUAGGGAAGAACCUUUGUAUUCUAUUACAAGCUAAUCACUAAAGGGAUGUUGCCUGUAAGCUUAAAUGAUACACAACGGCCCAUCUCAGGGAACCCUGCCUCCCAGGUAAUGAGCAUUAAGCUAAAAUACCUUUGUUUAGCUCACAGGGAACAUCCUGACCAGGCCCAUCUGUGCAGGACUGCAGGGAGGAAGGAAUUAACACAUGGCCUCAGGGGCUGAUGGAAACCAGAAGUGUUUGACGCUACUCCCUCCGCUGUUAGUGUAAAAGGAGCCUGAAUGUUACCUCAGGCAAGAUGGUUCUUUGGGACGUGAGGCCGCCAUCUUCUUGGGCUGCUGGAUUUCUGAAUAGUCACUCUUCCUCGCCCCAGCAACUCAUCUCUUGAUUUAUUGGCCUGUAGUGUGGUGAGCAGCACGAGCUUGGACUCUUAACAAAUUUGGGCGCAGCCAGCCAGGAGCCUUGCUACUUGUGGCUAGCCAGCCCUGGUUGGGGAAUUUGGGGUAAGGCCCUAGCAGCUGCCGGGACAGCUUGUCCUGAGGAUCUUUACCUUCAAAAUUCCCCAAAGUGGCACCGGCUUCCCCAGAGCUUGGCAGUUGGAGCAACAAAUCGACGUUUGGGAGCCAACAAGCUCUGUACAGUAGGGUAAGUUGCUCCGGUGUGUACAGCCGGGAACUUUUUCCUCUGUUUGGGGCUUUUUCUCCAGAAUAAGCCAAUUUGUUUUGUAUUUGAGUGGGGUGCACUGUUGGGGAGAGGAAGGAGUUGUCGGACUUAUAUCUGAUUUGUGAACUGGUUCGUUUGUUCCCGUGGAUGCUAGCAUUUGUGAGUGCAGUUUGUGUUUUGUUUGUCUUGAACUUCUGUCUUUAAAAAUGGAGAACGUUUCAAUUAUCCCUGAAGUCCUCUGAGGCUCGUUUUGGGUAAGUGAUCUGAUUACAGCUAUGAACCCAUGGGUGAGAGAAAGAUGAUACUUCAUCAUAACACUGUGUGGCCACAGUACCUGUUAGGAUCUGCACAGAGGAUUUAGGCAGGGCUAUCUUGGGACCCUGUGCACCAUGUACUGCUUUCCUUGCUGUGUUAAGUACUUUAUGGUCUCCUGUGUUGUUGGUAUAUAUAAAACCCCAAGACCAAACUUGAGGGUUUAUUUACGAUUUUCUGUUUGUCGUUUGGGUUUUUCAUUUCAUUUUGUUUGGUACUGUUUCUCCAUUUACAGCCAAAUCAGUUGUGAUAUUUAAAACUUUUACUGAUGUUAAAUGGAGGAAAGGAACAGAAAAAACUAAACCAAACCAAACCAAACAACUCUGUCUGUUCUUAUCUAAGAGUGGGGCAUUCUCAGGAAGAAGAGGAAGGUUCCACUUGGUUCCUAAAAUCACCAAAAGCUACAAAUAGAAAUAGAAGCAAAAUAAAUAUUAGUAAAAAGCGUUCAGCCAUCAGCCGUCAGCCAUCAGCCGGUGAUCUUGACUUGUCCCAUCUGCCAGAAACCCAAUUUGAAUCCAACCUCUUUUGUAACUGGUUAGUUUUACAUUGUUGUACUUGAUUCAUGGCUGAAAUGUUGGAAUGGGAACUGUGAGGUCCCUGUGUUUGUGUGUUUGUACAUGUUACAGAUGUGUAGCACUGCCAACGUUAAUGUGCAAAAGAGCUCUAUUUAUUUGGCUUAAAGGAAAUUAAGCACUUAUGUAAAUACUCAAAUAUAAAAGAAACUAGCUAGAAUGAAUUCUGGGUUCAUGUGAUCUAGGAAAUACUCAGUAUUGAACUAAUAUCUGGUAUUAAGGUUUGCGUAAGCUUGUUGGUUUGAUUUCCACAGACAUAUCUUUAGAGUCAUCAACAUUAAGUAUAAUGCUGUUAUUGUACCUAAGUUUGCUAGAAAUCAAAUAAGACCUAUCCUUUUUUUUUGUUUAAAUAAAUUUAUUUAUUUAUUUAUUGGCUGCACUGGGUCUUUGUUGCUGUGCCCGGGCUUUCUUUAGUUGUGGCAAGCAGGGGCUACUCUUUGUUGAGGUGCAUGGGCUUCUCAUUGUGGUGGCUUCUCUUGUUGUGGAGCACAGGCUCUAGGUGCAUGGACUUCAGUAGUUGCAGCACACAGGCUCAGUAGUUGUGGCUCACGGACUAUAAAGCACAGGCUCAGUAGUUGUGGCACAUGGGCUUAGUUGCUCCGCAGCAUGUGGGAUCUUCCCAGACCAGGGCUCGAACCCAUGUCCCCUGCACUGGCAGGCGGAUUCUUAACCACUGCACCACCAGGGAAGUCCCAAUACCUAUUCUUGUUAACAAAGUUUGUCAGCAAGAAGAUAAUAAUAUGACAAAGAUUUUAACUAAAUAAAAUAGAGGUAUAUGAGGUAAGAGUUUUAGGUAAACUCUAUAGGAAUAAUUAUGUUUGGGGAAGGUCUAUCUAAAAUAGUUUCUCUAGAUUUUCAUAACUUGAAACUAAACUAAGUUAAAUGAAGAGAAUUCAUUGACUCUCUGGGUCAUUUCAAAUAGGAUAAAAUAUUAGAACAUUAAUUGCUGGACAGGUCUAAGUUUACCUACAUUUGCCUUCUUGGAAGAGGAAGACUAAAGCAUACGUUUGUCAAUCAGGAAAUGCUAGUUUGACGGUUUUACAAUUACUUCUUGAUUUUUCACUAGAGAUCAAGGUUUUAAAGUUAAGAAUUAUAAAGGGAGCAUUUCAGUGUGCAAGAUGUAGGAUGUGUGUUUUCAGCAAAGAAGGUAUGAGGAAUGAAGACGCAUCUUGUUAAAGGGAAACAGGUGGUUUUGUUUUAGAGCUGGCUGUUUUUGAAUGGAAAAAGUGAGGGACAGAUUAAUAUGGAUACAGAAAAUUGUGGAAGGUUUUUGGAGGAGGAACACUGAAAGAAUUUUUUGUGCAUGAUAGGGAUUGGCUAAGAUAAGACAAUUUAAGAAAACAAAUUUUUUUUUAUUGCGGUACGUGGGCCUCUCACUGCUGUGGCCUCUCCCGUUGCGGAGCACAGGCUCCGGACGCGCAGGCUCAGCGGCCAUGGCUCACGGGCCCAGCCGCUCCGCGGUAUGUGGGAUCUUCCCGGACCGGGGCACGAACUCGUGUCCCCUUCAUCGGCAGGCGGACUCUCAGCCACUGCGCCACCAGGGAAGCCCAAGAAAACAAAUUUUAAAGGAUUAACUCCCAGAGGUGAUGUUAUUAUAAGUGUCAAAGGGCAGGAACUCUUUAAUAAGUCUUUUGCAUUGUCAUCAGAAUAAAGGUACAACUGCUUCACAACAGACAUGGAAAAUCUUAUCAGCUUCUGGAGUUGUCGGUCCAUUGGCACCUUCAGCAAUGAUCUGCAAGAAAGUCACGAACAUAGAGAAAUGCCAAUAACACCGUCAAAUCCCCUCCAGCUGAGCUCAAGAGAUGUGUGGGGGAUGGGGCUGUGGGAGAGAAGCAAAAUCCCACUUUAAAUUGUAUGCUUGGGGACUUGUAUGGCCAAAAAGUUUAUUUGGGUUUUUCCAUAAGAUGGUAACGAACCCGAACGAACACUUUGGCCAACCCAAUACAUCCCAAUAAAGCUGUUUUCUUUUUUUAAAAAAAGAGGAAACCCA